UGGGGAAUUUUGGACAAUGGGCGAAAGCCUGAUCCAGCAAUGCCGCGUGUGUGAAGAAGGCCUUCGGGUUGUAAAGCACUUUUGUCCGGAAAGAAAUCCUUGGCUCUAAUACAGUCGGGGGGUGACGGUACCGGAAGAAUAAGCACCGGCUAACUACGUGCCAGCAGCCGCGGUAAUACGUAGGGUGCAAGCGUUAAUCGGAAUUACUGGGCGUAAAGCGUGCGCAGGCGGUUUGCUAAGACCGAUGUGAAAUCCCCGGGCUCAACCUGGGAACUGCAUUGGUGACUGGCAGGCUAGAGUAUGGCAGAGGGGGGUAGAAUUCCACGUGUAGCAGUGAAAUGCGUAGAGAUGUGGAGGAAUACCGAUGGCGAAGGCAGCCCCCUGGGCCAAUACUGACGCUCAUGCACGAAAGCGUGGGGAGCAAACAGGAUUAGAUACCCUGGUAGUCCACGCCCUAAAACGAUGUCAACUAGUUGUUGGGGAUUCAUUUCCUUAGUAACGUAGCUAACGCGUGAAGUUGACCGCCUGGGGAGUACGGUCGCAAGAUUAAAACUUAAAUGAAUUGACGGGGUCAUAGCUGUUUCCU
rnacentral:rRNA from 1 species